AGGACGAACGCUGGCGGCGUGCUUAACACAUGCAAGUCGAACGAGAUCCAUUCAGUAGCAAUACUGAUGAAGAUCUAGUGGCGAACGGGUGCGUAACACGUGAGGAACUUGUCCCGGUCUCUGGGAUAACAGUUGGAAACGACUGCUAAUACCGGAUGACGUCGGAACUUCGCAUGGAGUACUGACGAAAGGGUUACUGGAUCGGGAGAGCCUCGCGGCCUAUCAGCUUGUUGGUGGGGUAAUGGCCUACCAAGGCAUCGACGGGUAGCUGGUCUGAGAGGAUGAUCAGCCACACUGGGACUGAGACACGGCCCAGACUCCUACGGGAGGCAGCAGUGGGGAAUCUUGCACAAUGGGCGAAAGCCUGAUGCAGCAACGCCGCGUGCGGGAAGAAGGCCCUCGGGUUGUAAACCGCUUUCAGGAGGAACGAAACUGACGGUACUUUCAGAAGAAGGUGCGGCCAACUACGUGCCAGCAGCCGCGGUAAUCUA
rnacentral:rRNA from 1 species